rnacentral:lncRNA from 1 species
UCACUGCAACCUCCACCUCCUGGGUGCAAUAGAUUGUCCUGCCUCAGCCUCCCAAGUAGCUGGGAUUACAGGCAUGUGCCACCAUGCACAGCUAAUUUUUUGGUACUUUUUAGUAGAAACGGGGUUUCACCAUGUUGGCCAGGCUGGUCUUGAACUCCUGACCUCAAGUGAUCCACCUGCCCCGGCCUCCCAAAGUGCUGGGAUUACAGGCGUGGUCACUGCGCCCAGCCUAUAUAACAUCUUUAUCUGGUUUUGGGAUUAAGGUAAUGCUGGCAAUCAUAGAAUGAGUUAUGAGUGAUUCCUCUGUUUCUAUUUUCUGGAAGAGAUUGUAGAGAAUUGAUUUUUUUUUUUUUUUUUUUUGAGACAGAGUCUCACUCUGUCACCCAGGCUGGAGUGCAGUGGUGCCAUCUCAGUUCACUUCAACCUCUGCCUCCUGGGUUCAAGUGAUUCUACUGCCUCAGCCUCCUGAGUAGCUGGGAUGACAGGCACCUGCCACCAGGGUUGGCGGGGGAUAGGUGUGCUGAUGGUGCAGGGGUGGGUGUGUGGGACUCCAUGUACUAUCUGCUUAAUUACUCUGUAAAAAGCGGUACUAAAAGAGUAAAAUCUACUUUAAAAAUAGAGAGAUGAGCAAGAGGGGAGGAAUGACCAGGUUUGCUGAAGAGAGAGGCUUGACAAUGGAAUGUUAAUUACAACCUUCAAGAUUUAACAUUACAGUCCUGGAGAGCCAAACAUUCGUAAAUGCAGUGCAAGGUCUACUUGUGCAGAGUGAACAGAUGAAAGCAUCAAUGGCAGGAGGUAAAAUGAAAGAUUUCUGUGGACAGAAACGUCCUGGAGUUCUCGGCACCUGCAUGUAGCCUCCCCACUGCUGGCUGACAUGGCAUUUUUUCUUUUAAAGAGAGUGGGUCUUGCUCUGUUGC